rnacentral:rRNA from 1 species
UGGGGAAUAUUGCACAAUGGGCGAAAGCCUGAUGCAGCGACGCCGCGUGAGGGAUGACGGCCUUCGGGUUGUAAACCUCUUUCAGUAGGGACGAAGCGCAAGUGACGGUACCUGCAGAAGAAGCACCGGCUAACUACGUGCCAGCAGCCGCGGUAAUACGUAGGGUGCGAGCGUUGUCCGGAAUUACUGGGCGUAAAGAGCUCGUAGGCGGUUUGUCACGUCGUCUGUGAAAUCCUAGGGCUUAACCCUGGACGUGCAGGCGAUACGGGCUGACGUGAGUACUACAGGGGAGACUGGAAUUUCUGGUGUAGCGGUGGAAUGCACAGAUAUCAGGAAGAACACCGAUGGCGAAGGCAGGUCUCUGGGUAGUAACUGACGCUGAGGAGCGAAAGCAUGGGUAGCGAACAGG